GAUGAAGAACGUAGCGAAAUGCGAUACGUAAUGUGAAUUGCAGAAUUCAGUGAAUCAUCGAAUCUUUGAACGCAUAUUGCGCUCUUUGGUAUUCCGAAGAGCAUGCUUGUUUGAGUAUCAGUAAACACCUCAACCUCUUCUUGAUUUUUCAAAAGGAGGGUGGACUUGAGCUAUCCCAACAACCUUUACCGGUCGGCGGGCGGCUUGAAAUGCAGGUGCAGCUGGACUUUUAUCUGAGCUAAAAGCAUAUCUAUUUAGUCCUCGUCAAACAGGAUUAUUACUUUUGCUGCAGCUAACAUAAAGGAGACUAGUUCUUGUGCUGACUGAUGCAGGAUUCACAGAGACAGCUUCGGCUGACUUUGUAAACUCGAUCUCAAAUCAAGUAAGACUACCCGCUGAACUUAAGCAUAUCAAUAAGCGGAGGA
rnacentral:misc_RNA from 1 species